AAAAAUCAAUACUGAGCCACGGGCUAUUGGAUCCCAUGGAACCAUGGAGACUUGGCAGUGAAAUGCUUCUACAGGCAGACGGUGUUCCUAGGUUUGGAAGUAUAAAUCCCAGGAGAAGUAAACUGAAGAACAUUUUAUGCAUCACUCAUUCUAUUAUGAGCCCUCUGAUGUCCCAUCUCUCUACAAGAUUGGCCAAAGCAACGGCAACAAUUGUUUACAAUUUGUACUCUAGCUUUAGAUCAUCCUGUUAAUAUCCUGACUGAUUUUCAUGAAAGACAAUAUUCUAUAAGAAAAACUAUUAGAAGCCUGAUAUGGCAUUAUUAAUAAAAUAACAUGGAAAAUGCAACAUUCUGGAUGUCCCAUCUGAUGAGCGGUUGACUGAUUGUACCCACCAGCUGGCUAAUAUCAUAAUUAACAAAGUUGGUACUACAUUCGCAAAGUUUAAUCAAAAAAUUUGCCAAUGAUAUGAUGGCAUUGUCACAAAGAUCACAAGGGACAUGGAAUCGACUUUUGCUCAAGAAGGAACGGCAAAACUGUAUAGACAAGAUGAGAAAUCGUGAACUUGUUC